UACGUAGGGGGCAAGCGUUGUCCGGAAUCAUUGGGCGUAAAGCGCGUGUAGGCGGUCCGGUAAGUCCGCUGUGAAAGUCGGGGGCUCAACCCUCGGAUGCCGGUGGAUACUGUCGGGCUUGAGUACAGAAGGGGCAACUGGAAUUCUCGGUGUAGCGGUGAAAUGCGUAGAUAUCGAGAGGAACACCUGCGGCGAAGGCGGGUUGCUGGGCUGAUACUGACGCUGAGGCGCGAAAGCUAGGGGAGCGAACGGG
rnacentral:rRNA from 1 species